CUCGUUGCAAGAACUUAUUGGAGAGGUGAAGAAGAGGAGCAGCACAAGAGCAAGGCCAAGAAAAGUUUCGGGAAAUUUGUUGCUGUAUAUCAUGUGUGAGAAAUGGAGAGUCCACAUGAUGUUCUUUCUCAAGAAAUCAACAUGGAAGCAUAGGCGUGAGUUGUGUCCUUAGAGUUUAUAAUGGUAAAUGGGUUCAGAUGAAGAAAGAGCACGGAGAGCAAACAGGAGCAGCUGCUGUCAUCAUUUAACCGUUUUGUUUGACCUUUCAGAAUUUAUUCAACAACAAAAAUUUGGUCAAGGAUUGGCUGCUUCAGGCACAUCCUUGUUGUGAAUUGGGAUUUGACAUUUGCUACAGCACUUUCUAAGUUCACACCAUGGUGAUAGUGUACAUUGGUACGGCUGAUUUCCAUGUGAGAAACGACAGAAUUUGAACGGAGGAGGCACAAUUCUGAAGGACGAAUUUCACAGAUUACCACAAUAUAAUUCAAAGCAUCCAUUGAUGUAGCGAUUGGCAUGGUUGGAGAAGGGCAAGUGGAUUGCAGGAAGAUUCUUGCUGAAUGCUGACCGAAGCUUUUACUUUCUAGCCAACUACAUAAUUCAAGGUCCAAGGCUGUGGUUGACGCACGUGUUUACAAAACUGCAAUUUUCCGUUGCGUCGACGCACUGCAGACAACGACUUGCAUGAUAGCAAGUGAUCUUCAGAGUACAAGUGUACGUCGGACUCAACUAGUGAUUGCAGGCCGGCUUGUGUUUUGGACUCGGUAAAUAUCUCCGGAACAUACAUUUUCUUUCUUUCUUUUGUAAAGCUCCUUUUAUUGUGGCCAAUUGAAUUUGUAAGUCUUGUGCAAUUACGGUGGACAUAUAAAGAUCCUUUUCACUCCAAAUCUUCAAUGUGUCUGCUCUGAUAGAAUGGUUUGGGCAGUCUGCAAAAAUUA